GACAGAGGGUGCAAACGUUGUUCGGAAUUACUGGGCGUAAAGGGUGCGCAGGCGGUGGCCCGCGUGGGCGGUGAAAGCUCCUGGCUCAACUGGGAGAGGGCCGUCCAGACGGGGUCACUUGAGGGGCGGAGAGGGGCGUGGAAUUCCGGGUGUAGCGGUGGAAUGCGUAGAGAUCCGGAAGAACACCGGUGGCGAAGGCGGCCCGCUGGGCAGGAAGGCUCGCAAGAGCCGGCUGACGCUGAGGCGCGACAGCGUGGGGAGCAAACAGG
rnacentral:rRNA from 1 species